rnacentral:misc_RNA from 1 species
GAUGAAGAACGCAGCGAAAUGCGAUAAGUAAUGUGAAUUGCAGAAUUCAGUGAAUCAUCGAAUCUUUGAACGCACCUUGCGCCCUUUGGCUAUUCCGAAGGGCAUGCCUGUUUGAGUAUCAUGAACACCUCAACUCUCAUGGUUUGCCAUGAUGAGCUUGGACUUUGGGGGUCUUGCCGGCCUAUGGGUCGGCUCCUCUCAAAUUAAUCAGCUUGCCAGUGUUUGGUGGCAUCACAGGUGUGAUAACUAUCUACGCUUGUGGUUUUCCAUCAGGUAACCUUCAGUGAUGGAGGUUCGCUGGGGCUCAUAAAUGUCUCUCCUCAGUGAGGACAGCUUGUUUGAACGUUUGAUCUCAAAUCAGGUAGGACUACCCGCUGAACUUAAGCAUAUCAAUAAGCGGAGGA